UAAAUAAUAUAGUAUAACAAUAAAGGAAUUUAAAAUUAAUUGAACCGAAAUUACACUAAAAUGUUAUCCCAAUUACGGCCAAGUUUCAAAUGAUGAUCAAUGAUAGUAGAAGUCCUUACCUAAACUACCUUUAAAUGUCCGACAGGUGGCGAAAACAAGCUGUAUUUUUCUACCAUGCGAUGACACUGUCAUCGAGAUCAGGAGAGCUAUAUAAUGAGUGCGACAAUGCUCUGUAGUUCUUUUGAUUUCAGAACUUCGCCGUUGUUGCGUAAGUAUGGCUGAUCUGUAUUGUUAUAGUUGUUUAAAUGUAAAAAUGAAUGGUAGUCAAACAGUCUGGUUAGAUACGCAUGUCAUGGGCAGACAUUUUGUUACUUGUAUUAUGACACCUAUGUUUUUGUGACUCAAAUCGGGUAUGAUAAAAAAAAUUUUUCUCCACAUUUACGUUUCCUAUAAAAAUUAUACUUAAUCAAUCUUAUUCUUGGUAUUAACAUCUUAUUUUCUCCAACUGUUACGUUGACCGUUUUUAACUAAAUGUUUUAGGCCAGGUUUUUGGGUUCCAUUGUUUGAUUCUACGUUGUCAUUUGUUCUCAAUGUGGGUAAUGUGUAUAAUAGGCUCAGGUAUCAACUUGAAGUUAAUUUCUCAAUCUUGUUACCGGAGUUAGAGGCUGGAUUUUGUUGGUCAGUUUAUUGGUAUGGUUGGACUAAUAACUAUUUUGAGUUGUCCCUCCACCUGUUGCAGUGAGAUUGUGCUUGUUUAGGCUUUUUUUGUCGUGAAUAUUUUUAAAUUGUGAGAGGGUGUCCAGUUGUGAGUAUGUUGGUCCUGCAAAUGACGGCUUCUGGUAGUAUAAUUAUGGUGAUAACCUACGUUGAUGAAAUAUAACUAUUUUAAAUAUACGUAACACAAGAGCUGGCGAAACAUGUGCAACUUCCAUUCAUGUUAUAAGUACAGAUUGUUAGGAAUGAAGUUGCUGCAAAUAUCGCUAUUCACGAGGUCGAUUAUCAUGAAAUGGAAUAGGAGUUUCCUGUAGUGAUGGCAGUUGGAGGGGCGUUCGAAAUUUUCUUUUUCCUUAAAAUUUUCUUGUGUUAACAAUAGUAAAAGUUGUUUUUGUGAUGUGAUAUGUAGUCUUUGUUUUGCCAUUAAGCCAUGUUUCCUCUUUACUUGUGAUAACUCCGUAGGCAGUUGUGAUGUUUUGGCAUUAACGUAUCUCAGAAAUAUCAAUAAAACACAUUUUGAAACAUA